UCAUACAUUGCUGCAAAUAUACUGGCAUACUACUCUGGUGCAGUCUUUAUGAAUAUACGCCACAUAUGUGGUGUACACCUGACGUUCUCAGGAUCAUGCUCUUCAUCAGGCUCGUCAGGAAUGAAAGUGGGGCUAUGUAACAUUUCCACCACAGCGUGUUCUCUCACAUAACGGAUGCCUUUUUCCAUAUCAGUCCAUUUCCUUUUCUCAGGCAUCAGAUUGUCUUUGAAGGGGUAUCUUUCUUUUAUGGCUAGCAGCAUCUGCUUCCAGAGGGAGAAGGACCCAUUCUAGCAUGUACUAAUACCUCUGUCAAUGGCUGAGUCCCUAGCAGUGCCACCCAGUUGGCGAGCUUCUCUACUAUCUAGCCACAUACUGUUGGCCCCAUUGUCCCAACAUCAAAGUAGCCAGGUGACAGUAGGCUCAUUUGGGUGGCGUGAAAAGUCUUUUCUCAGACCUUGAAUUUCAUUCAUUUUCGGAGAUCAAUCAUUAAUGGUAACAAUGUCUUGCUCACCUCCUACUUUUUCAGGACUUCUUGUUGCCCUCCUGGGUGUUGGUGACCACAGUCUUACUGAGGACCCCUCCCCUGGACUCAGGGGUGCUUCCCCUGGAUCUUGGAGCAGCUCCUCUGGACCUCUUUCCUCCUCUUCUCUUGCAGUGUCUGCUUCCUCUACUUUCUCCUUCUCCUCUUUCUUCUGUUCUAAGUGAGUCAAGAUUUGUUUCAUAUUCCAUCCUCUUAGAGGAGCAACUGACAUCAACUGUGGUGCCUCCUGUGGUGGAUCAGGUUGGUCAGUUCUGAUACUCUCACUCUUCAGCUCAGCUUGGAGUCUGUCUCGUUUGAUUAUGAGGGUAUUUAGUUCAGAUUCAAGCAUGACUCAAUGAGCCUGAAUGUUGCUUAGUUCAGUUUGGAGAUUAAAUAUUGUGAACUGGAAGCCCUCUCACUCAGUUCAGUGUACAUCCUGUUUGGACUUGAGGAUGUCCCUCUUGGACUGCAGGGCAUCUCGUUUGGACUGGAGGCUAUCUCUCUCGGAUUGGGGGGCUUUUUUCUCAACUAGGAGAUUCUAUCUCUCAGAUUGGAGACUGUAUCUUUCAACUUGGAGACUCUGUUUCUGGACCUGGAGAUUCUCCCUGUUGUCUCUGAGACACUCUCUUUCAGCACAGAGAUUCCCUCUCUCAAUUUCAGAAACUCUUUCCCUCUUGGGGAUAGUAUUGUAUAAGGCCCGGUAAGCAUUAGCCAGACCCCAAAUCAUCUGUGCCUCCUCAGAUCUGCCUGAGCCACAACGUUCCUGUCUCAAAUUUCUGUUUUAGCUCUGAGGGUCUUUCAG
ensembl:lncRNA